GCACGUAGACAGGUUUCUGCACGUUAAUGUGUAAGCGCUGGGAGCCAAAUGCCCCGUCUGCCACCCUCCAGGCGAGGCGGACGGCGUCGGACCCUCCCUCCUGGGCUGCCUGCAUGGGGCACGCUCCCAGCGUUUCUCUCUGCUGGGUGCUGAGGGUGCCUGCGUCAAGCGGAAAAGAGAGAGCGCAAACAAGCUGGCUACUGACAGCACUGCUGCCAAGCACCGUGCUUGUCCUCGCCCCUCCACGAGCUGCCUGGCUCGGUGGGGUAUCGCGACCCACCACCCUGCGGUGCUGCCCACCAGACCUGGCUGCUGGCCACUGGCAGCUGCAGGCUGAGCUGGGUGGCCUUGAUCAGGUGUUGAAUCCCAGUUGGUGAUAAAAGCGAUGAAGUGAGCCGUGCUGCACUCGAGGGGCAGAUAUAUUUUCAGAAAGUCACCUCCUCCUUAUUUGUGAGAAGCACCUGCCAAUUAGUAGGCUUAAAAAUAUCACUAGAGUUACAUAAGAUCUUUUAAAAUUCGUCUGCUUCUUGACUCCGCAGCACUUCACCUAUUACUAGAAGUAAUCAACCUUCAUUGUGCUUUAAAAUAAACUUGAAGUCAAGCGGCCCGGAAGAAAUACGAGCAAGAAAUUCCAAACUGCUUCCUUCUGUGCACAAAUGGACAUGGCACGUCAGGACGUGGCUUAGUGGUGGACUAGGUGGUGCCAGGCUGAUGGUUGGACUCGAUGAUCUUAUGGGUCUUUUCCAACCUAAACAAUUCUAUGAUUCUGUGAUCCGAAGCAUUCAAAGACUCCCCCGCCACACGCAGCCUGAGUUUGUGCUAUUGAUCUUGCUGGGGGUUGUGAAUCUGCAUCCCUGGCCGAGCACCUCCAAAACGUGGUGCUAGUGUGAGUUGGCACACCACCCUUCUCCACUAAUGACACGUAAUUUAUGUGUUCAGAGUUUACGGGCAUUACGACGGAAAUGGCUGAAUGAAUUCCAGACAUGCUCUUCUGAAAUUUUUAAGGGAAGACUAUAUGGGAAUAGCUUUUCUGGAGCAAAAGCUGACAAAUGUCAUCUCCUGGAAUAGUUGCAGUUCUGAGGGCCAGAGGAGAACAAUUUCAGAAAACUAAGAUGGCCCUUUCUCCUCCACUGCCAUCCUAACUGGAGAGUUUUGGGACAGGAACUGCACUGCAGGAGGGACCGAUCCAUGGCCCUGCUACAGCUACGCCAGGAGAGCACCAACAGCUGGCAAGCGCCCGUUCCGUCUGGAGUCUUGCAACUGAAGCAAAGCCAAAUACAUUUAGGCUGAUGACUUGAUUCCCUCAUCAGAAAGAUAUCUCCCUUUCAGCUGCAUUCUACCCUGGAGAUGUCCUUACCACAGAGAUUCAUAAAUUUUCCCUGCUAUGGUUAUCUGAGCUGAUCUGCUUCUGGGCAUACCUUGAAAUGCACGUAUCUUGUCAACACAGGCAAUUUGGCCAUCACAGCCCUGUCAAGACGUGCAGUCUAAAUAUUCCCACACUUAACCUCAGUUACAUAUUUGGUACACUGGAAGGCGUCAUGAUUGGCCAAAUGGGCGGUCAGAACCCCAGAAAAAAGCUCUUCUGGAUCACCAACGCACCAUUUUCCUAAAACGACCUGGAAGACACUAAAGAGAUGGUAAUAAUGCAGGCUGGAAUUUGACGUAAAAUAAAUUGCUAAAGAUUCUCAGGAGCAACACCAUUUGAUGUUGAAAGAUGGCAAUAUUCAAGGACUUUGAUGUCUGAAGGAUGACACCUCUAAUAGCAGAUUGCCUCCUAGUGCCAUGCUAAGGUAAUGACUGAGAAGGCAAAAUAUCCAGUCGCUUCCACCAAUUCAGGCAUUUGCAUGCAAGUCCAUCAUUUAAUUCAUGAGUAAAUUUCAUAUCAUGAAAUUUAAUGUCCGGUUUUAUGAGCGGAUCAUCAUUUUCAAAUAAGGAAGAAAAAAUACUUUGGAUAUACUUAAAAAAAAUCAAAAAGAUAUUUCAUCUGCCACCAAAAAAAAAAAAAAAGGUUGUUUCUCGUUUCUAUCACAAGUUACAGAAAUCUCUUGUUAUAUCAAGUUUGUACCAAGGACACUCUGCAUAUUUUUUUCUAUUUAAAACUUUAAUUUAGAUCAUUCAAAUACUUAUCUUAGCGUGUAAUAAACCUUUACUUUUUCUAUAUCUGAUAUGGAUGAUGGGAGAAGAAAAAAAAAAAGGAAAAAAAAAAAAGGAAAAAAAAAAAAAGAAGAAGGUAUUUGUCCUAGGUCCUUUCCUUUUUCUCUGAGCCUGAGGAUGUCUUUUGGAAGCACAGCUCCUCCAUCUUCUUUCCAGAAAUGACAUACAUAAUCUAUACUUCUCUGUGCUUGCUUGGCAGAAGUAAAACAAUUUUUUAUCUCCCACCCUUCAGAUCUUUCACUAAGAACAGUCAAGUGAAUUUCACACCUCACACAAUUGCAAAGAAAUUACAGGCACAUUGAGAACACUUGACUCAGUUUGCUUCCAGGAUAAUGUAUUUUUGGUAAGAAGUAGAAUUUACAGUAUGUAAACCCUGUCUUUGCAAAUGAAAUGUAGCAGCAUGAGGGAACAUUAUAUAUAUUCAACUUCAAACAUACAUUUGACAAAACAGAAGAGAGUGUCCGAUGGCAUAUCUGGCAGCCGUAGACAGCGGAGGCAGAACUGCUUCCUACCGUCCGACCACGCGGGGAUCCCACGUGAAGACGCAGAUCAAAGGGGGGCACAAUGAACUUGUGGUCUCCCUACCCUUCACCUGGUCUUACACAAGGAUCCUGGUGUUGUGGUGCAGACUUGUGCACGUGAGGAGGAGGCACCAUGAGCUGUGAGCAUCACACCGAGGCUGAGCACCACGGGGCCUGGGCUGCUGGUGGCGACGAGCACGUGCCUCUCCCGAGCGGGAGAGCAGGAGGCAUCCCGAAGAAAGAGAAAGCAGGAAUGUGAUAUAUUACAACACUCGCUGAACUGGCUGGCAGACGUGGCUUGGCUUGGGUGGCCUGUCUCAUUCCAAGCAGUCCACAUAUCCUUUGCCGUACCUUACUGCUGGUGCCACGCUACUUCUCGCUGCAAAAAGGUCUUAUGGGGUGAAUGCCACAAACGAAGAGCCACUUUUUAACGUUAGCAACAUUUCUGUCUGAUCAGAUGCCGAACAGAUUAGCCGCCUUAGACUCAGAAUCCCGGUACAGCGCAAGGAGCCACAGGAACCCUGAGUAGCCAUGGGAAUAAAUGUUUAUCUUCAGAAGGUCAAAACCUAUCACAGUUUCAGUUUUCAGCUAAACAUGGGUAAAGAGUUCCUACGGUUCAGCUCUUUAAAAAAAUCUGUAAUAAAACUGUCUGGAGGAAAAAGGUUGACUUGCUCCCACAGGAUUCAUUAUUUCUCAAAUAAAUGUUAUGUGGCACUUCUAUAUGUUUAUAUUGUGAA